UACGGAGGGUGCAAGCGUUAUCCGGAUUCACUGGGUUUAAAGGGUGCGUAGGCGGGCAGGUAAGUCCGUGGUGAAAUCUCUGAGCUUAACUCAGAAACUGCCAUGGAUACUAUUUGUCUUGAAUAUUGUGGAGGUAAGCGGAAUAUGUCAUGUAGCGGUGAAAUGCUUAGAUAUGACAUAGAACACCAAUUGCGAAGGCAGCUGGCUACACGAAUAUUGACACUGAGGCACGAAAGCGUGGGGAUCAAACAGG
rnacentral:rRNA from 1 species